rnacentral:rRNA from 1 species
AAACGACUCUCGGCAACGGAUAUCUUGGCUCUCGCAUCGAUGAAGAACGUAGCGAAAUGCGAUACUUGGUGUGAAUUGCAGAAUCCCGUGAACCAUCGAGUCUUUGAACGCAAGUUGCGCCCGAAGCCCUUAGGCCGAGGGCACGUUUGCCUGGGCGUC